AACCAGAAUUCCAAGGGAGCUGUCUGUUACCACACAGAUAAUCUGAGUUCACUAAUAAGCAAUUACAAGUAAAAAGGAAGAAUGACUUAGAAUAUAAAAAUGUGGAGUCACAAGCUGAAGAAAUUGAGUAAGGGGAAGUUCUAAAAUGGGCUUUUGAUUAUUAACCAAAGUGAUUAAUAGUGAGCCUCUUUUUUUUUUAGUAUAUAACUACCUCUAAAACUGGUAUUAUAUUGUGGUCCUUCAAUUUAAGUUCUUUUUAUAAGAUAUGGAAUUCAUAUUCAUAGGAAACAGAAAAUAUAGUUUGAUUUUUUUUGAAGCUUUUUAAAAUCUGUAUUUGGUACAACACAUGAUAUUUUCCUUGUAUUUUUUUUUAACGUACUUUGAAUAAUGCUGAAAUAGAAGGGUUGUCUUUGUUUGUGGUAUCAGAAAUAAGCCGCGUAGUGGGUUUUUGUUGAGGAUGAUGAGAAAUUCAUGUUUGAGAAAAUGUCGUUUGAUCAGUUAGCAUAGACACAACAGGCAAGGUGGUAAUCUGAUUCAAAAAUGGAUAUUACAUACGAACACAUUUAAUUUGUUGCUUUGAAUUUUUAUAAUUACAUUCAUUUUCAAGAAACCAUGGGAUUUGAGCCCAAUUCAUUUAUUUCAUGAACCUAUUACAGUAAAUGCCCUGGAGCCUCAGGGUUCUCAAAGCCUAAAACAUGUACCUCAUUUGAGAGUGUUCACCUUGCUUAUCUCUAAAAUAACAAGGUCCAAAGCUGUGGAAGAUUUCACAGAUAAUUUCACAUUUUAAACAGCAUUAAAAGGAAGAUUCCCUAAUAUUUCUUCCUGGUAAACACAAAGCUACUCUCUUCUUGUGGAAGUUGAGGUGUUAUCUUUAGUGGAAAGCCUUAUUUAGAGAACAUGCAGUUGAUCUCCUUAGCUGUUAAAAAGAAAAACAUUGAGGUGGUGUUGUGUUCUCAUUUCUGAGAAAAUGUUGCUCAAUAACUCUUAUGAUUGAAGUUCUCACUACGGAUAUAUUUGUCAUAUGAGUUUCUAUAUGAAUGUAUACAGAAUAUGCUCUCUCACUUUCUUUGUCGCUCACUCUCUUUUGGAUUUUCUCAGAUUGCAUAGUCCUGUAAUGAAGUUCAUGUGACACCUCACUGGACAGUACAUAUUCUGUCCCUUUUACUACUAGAAAAUGGAAUGUAUUAGAACCCUGAGAGAUCUUGCCCCGUUAGAAAGACAGAGCAAUAGAAUAUGACUUUACUGCCACCUUUAUUAUAGUACGUGGCUGAUACUGCUUGUCUUUUCAUUUGUGUGUGUGGAUGUGUGUGCGCCUCUCUGUAAAGGUUGGGGAUGGUGAUUAACUGUAUUAAACUUUUGGGUAAAAUAUAAAACUGAGAUAAUUUGUCCUUGACAUCCCAAUGACAAAAGUAUAGAUCCGAUUUGAACACUUACAGCACAUAGUUUCUAUUGAUUGCCUAUCGGUGUGCAAAGAUGAAAGUUAUUCUCAAGAACACUAUUAAAGAAAGAUUUGUUGAGUGGCACAUUCCUUCUAAAGACACAAACAUAAAUGAUGCAAUAUAGGUUUCCAAGCUUACACACACACACACACACUUUAAAAUUUUCAGGAAAAGUUUUAAACAAAAAAUGGGACAAUAGGACCUUUCCAUUCACAGAGGGGGUCAGCAAAGUUUUGUGGCCCGUGAGAUUAUGGAAUGGUCUUAUAAAAGGGUUGAUUCUAUAUGGACGUAUAAAAAACAAAUUUCGAAUAAUUGUGUUACACAGCCUUGGUGUCUUGCAGGCGUGAGUGAACUCGUGAAAUUUUCACAUUAAUGGCUUAGUGCUUAAAGGGGUUUCUGGUUUUUAGACUUAUUUAAAGAAGUGUUUCCACAUUGGAUUUAAGAACAAUCCUGCCUUUUAGAAAUAUUUAUUUUUAAUUGUAUGAGUAUUACAUGAAAACAUUCUUGCCAUAUAAUGUUAAAUUUUCAUGGUUACAGAAAAGAUUUGAUGUGUUUUCUAUCUGCUCCUCUGCUGCCAAUGAUUCCCUUUCCCAGAGAUAGCCACCAGAGUGAUGCUGAUCAUCUUUUUAAUCACUUUUUUGUGAAAAAUGUUCUUCAUUCUCAAGGACAUAGGAGAUGUUAUUGAUUAGAAGAUCCCAUAAUUACUGGGAACAAAAGAUCAAGUAGUAGAUCUGUAACCCAUUCUUUCCAGUAACUGGGAAGAGCUACCAUAUUAGAAAAAUUGCAAUAUUUGGAAACAGUUGCUGGUUUUCUGAAUACAUUGCAUAUCCUCAUCUGUAGCUGAGCCAUUCACACUUUAUUUCCUUCAGAAACUCUCAGUUGAAUACCAUCUGGUCAUGGUAAUUUAUUACUGUGGAAUUUCUCAAGUUGCUCUAUUAUUUCCUCCUAAGAGAUUGCUCUCUGCUACUGCCCCACUGAUUUUCUCAGAAAGUGCCCUUGGAAUAGUCGUUUCCCCACUAUCCUGUACAGCAAAGGUCAAUGCCAAAUAAAACUGAAUUAAACUUCUCUGCUGCUUCUCAUCCUUUUAUUUGUCCUCAUUUCAAGUCCUCACUGAUGGGGAGAAACUCAGCAGUUAGUCCAGCCACUCAUGUUGUCUGCUUAGUCCUCAUGGUACCUUUUGUCCUUUUAAUUUUCAAAUUCUUUUUUUUCCCUGACAGUGUAUUUUUGGUAUUUAAUUCAGAAAAAAAAGGCAAGUGUUAAAAAAGAUAUUCUAGAUACUUUCAGUGUAUUCAUAAGUGACUCUGGAAUUGUUUCCAGUUUUUGUUUUUUUUUUUCCAAACUAUCCACAGAUUUCUCUUUUGACUUGUCGAAUAAUGAGCCUCUGUAUAUGUCUCUCAUUGCCACUGUCCUUUUCUGUCUUCCAAGCAGCCUGGAUAGUUUUUAAACUCCCUUACUUGCCUCUCGGAGGGAUGCCAACCAUUUUUUUUCUUCAAAUUUUUAACAUAUACUUUUUAAAGUUUCACCCUUUGGGUUAACAUUAAGAGUGCCCAUACUAAUUAGAAAACAGCUUUAGUUGUGCCGACAUCCCAAUUGCUGAGUUCCACUCCUACGCAUACUCACCUGCGGUAAUUCCUAUAUGUUAUAUUAAUCUGUUUCUUCUUUUAUAACUGCCCAAAUAAGCCAAGGUACGGCAUAUUAAUUAUUGCUUCCCCACCUUGCACUCUUCUGUCAUUCAUUUGGAUAAUAAUGGACAUAAUUAAAAUCAUUCAUUGCAAUAGCCUUUCUAGAAAAGAUUGCUGAACAGUAAAGGUUAAAAGCAAUUUGCAUUAUUCUUUCAUAUUCUAUGGUUAACAUAACUUU